rnacentral:rRNA from 1 species
AUGGCCAGCAACUCCACCGCUGCAGCUAGCCAUGGCCAGUGCCUGCCCAAGACCUCGUCGAGAUGCCUGACGCCGAGCGUCACCGCGACGCACGAUUUCGAGGUGACAAGCUACCCGCUGCUCCACGGCAUCGGCGUCGAAAAGCUCGUCAGCUCGACGGUCUUCAGCGUCGGCGGCUUUAACUGGACGAUCAGCUUCUUCCCGGACGGCGUGAGACAUGGCAGUUUCGGCAACGCUUCGGCGUUCUUGAACUGUCUUAGCCCAGAAAAGGAUGUCAGAGCAAGGUUCACCUUGAACUUGCUGGACAAAAGUGGAACACAGGUCACCAAGUUUGAGGAGAUGAAGUAUACCUUCACUCCGAAAUGCGUUUAUCAGGGCUAUGCUCAGUUCAUCGGGAAAUCGUGGCUGAAAUCAUGGUCUGACAGCAAUGGGAGCUUCAUUAUACGGUGUGUUCUCACCGUGAUCGGAGAACCCCGCACUGAGGUCAAGAGGAGCCGUGUUCUUGUGCCGGGGCGGAGUCUGCAAGACCAGCUGGAAGACAUGCGUAAGAAGGGAGAAGGAGGAGAUGUGACCUUCAGUGUGUGUGGCAACCUGUUCCAUGCUCACAGAUGUUUGCUGGCUGCAAGAUCUCCGGUUUUCAAGGCAGAAUUGUUUGGUCCCAUGAAGGAGAAGGCAGCACAGAGCAUCAAGGUUGUCGACAUGGAGCCCCCAAUCUUCGAGGCGCUUCUUCACUUUGUGUACACGGAUUCCAUGCCUCAUGAUGAACACUCCAAAGAUUGGAACACGGCAAAGCUUCAGCACUUGCUAGUUGCUGCGGAUCAGUAUGGACUAGAUGGGUUAGUGGCGCUUUGUGAAAGCAAGCUCUGUGAGAGCAUUGACGUCGAGACUGUUGCAAGAACAUUGGUUUUAGCAGAGCAGCACCAUUGCAAGGAUCUCCAAGAAGCUUGUGUUGAGUUCAUGGCUCCACAGAAUGUUCUACAAGCUGUUAUGGAAACUGAUGGAUUUAAGCAUUUGGUUGCGAGCUGUCCUCUGCUCAUGAAGGACAUAUUGGAAAAAAUUUCUCUUACUGACUAG